AAGAGGCAGGUAGCCUAGUGGUUAGAGGAGGCAGGUAGUCUAGUGGUUAGAGGAGGCAGGUAGCCUAGUGGUUAGAGGAGGCAGGUAGCCUAGUGGUUAGAGGAGGCAGGUAGUCUAGUGGUUAGAGGAGGCAGGUAGCCUAGUGGUUAGAGGAGGCAGGUAGCCUAGUGGUGAGAGGAGGCAGGUAGCCUAGUGGUUAGAGGAGGCAGGUAGCCUAGUGGUUAGAGGAGGCAGGUAGCCUAGUGGUGAGAGGAGGCAGGUAGCCUAGUGGUUAGAGGAGGCAGGUAGCCUAGUGGUUAGAGGAGGCAGGUAGCCUAGUGGUUAGAGGAGGCAGGUAGCCUAGUGGUUAGAGGAGGCAGGUAGCCUAGUGGUUAGAGGAGGCAGGUAGCCUAGUGGUUAGAGGAGGCAGGUAGCCUAGUGGUUAGAGGAGGCAGGUAGCCUGGUGGUUAGAGGAGGCAGGUAGCCUAGUGGUUAGAGGAGGCAGGUAGCCUAGUGGUUAGAGGAGGCAGGUAGCCUAGUGGUUAGAGGAGGCAGGUAGCCUAGUGGUUAGAGGAGGCAGGUAGCCUAGUGGUUAGAGGAGGCAGGUAGCCUGGUGGUUAGAGGAGGCAGGUAGCCUAGUGGUUAGAGGAGGCAGGUAGCCUAGUGGUUAGAGGAGGCAGGUAGCCUAGUGGUUAGAGGAGGCAGGUAGCCUAGUGGUUAGAGGAGGCAGGUAGCCUAGUGGUUAGAGGAGGCAGGUAGCCUAGUGGUUAGAGGAGGCAGGUAGCCUAGUGGUUAGAGGAGGCAGGUAGCCUAGUGGUUAGAGGAGGCAGGUAGCCUAGUGGUUAGAGGAGGCAGGUAGCCUAGUGGUUAGAGGAGGCAGGUAGCCUAGUGGUUAGAGGAGGCAGGUAGCCUAGUGGUUAGAGGAGGCAGGUAGCCUGGUGGUUAGAGGAGGCAGGUAGCCUAGUGGUUAGAGGAGGCAGGUAGCCUAGUGGUUAGAGGAGGCAGGUAGUCUAGUGGUUAGA